GAUGAAGAACGUAGCGAAAUGCGAUACUUGGUGUGAAUUGCAGAAUCCCGUGAACCAUCGAGUCUUUGAACGCAAGUUGCGCCCGAAGCCAUCAGGUUGAGGGCACGUCUGCCUGGGCGUCACAUAUCGUUGCCCAAUGCCUAUUGCAGUGCAAUAGGAAUUUCUAGGGCGAAUGAUGGCUUCCCGUGAGCGUUGUUGCCUCGCGGUUGGUUGAAAAUCGAGUCCUUGGUAGGGUGUGCCAUGGUAGAUGGUGGUCGAGUUAGAACGAUACCGAUCAUGUGCAUGCUCCCCAAAAUAUGGCCUCUAUGACCCACACGUGUCUUUUGACGCUCAUGACGAGACCUCAGGUCAGGCGGGGCUACCCGCUGAAUUUAAGCAUAUCAAUAAGCGGAGGA
rnacentral:misc_RNA from 1 species